UACAUGCAAGUCGAGCGAACAGACGAGGAGCUUGCUCCUCUGACGUUAGCGGCGGACGGGUGAGUAACACGUGGAUAACCUACCUAUAAGACUGGGAUAACUUCGGGAAACCGGAGCUAAUACCGGAUAAUAUAUUGAACCGCAUGGUUCAAUAGUGAAAGACGGUUUUGCUGUCACUUAUAGAUGGAUCCGCGCCGCAUUAGCUAGUUGGUAAGGUAACGGCUUACCAAGGCAACGAUGCGUAGCCGACCUGAGAGGGUGAUCGGCCACACUGGAACUGAGACACGGUCCAGACUCCUACGGGAGGCAGCAGUAGGGAAUCUUCCGCAAUGGGCGAAAGCCUGACGGAGCAACGCCGCGUGAGUGAUGAAGGUCUUCGGAUCGUAAAACUCUGUUAUUAGGGAAGAACAAAUGUGUAAGUAACUAUGCACGUCUUGACGGUACCUAAUCAGAAAGCCACGGCUAACUACGUGCCAGCAGCCGCGGUAAUACGUAGGUGGCAAGCGUUAUCCGGAAUUAUUGGGCGUAAAGCGCGCGUAGGCGGUUUUUUAAGUCUGAUGUGAAAGCCCACGGCUCAACCGUGGAGGGUCAUUGGAAAC
rnacentral:rRNA from 1 species